rnacentral:rRNA from 1 species
UGGCUCACCAAGGCGACGAUGCGUAGCCGACCUGAGAGGGUGAACGGCCACAUUGGGACUGAGACACGGCCCAGACUCCUACGGGAGGCAGCAUG